rnacentral:rRNA from 1 species
AAUCAACGCUGGCGGCGUGCCUCAGACAUGCAAGUCGAACGCGAAAGUCCCCUUCGGGGGACAAGUAGAGUGGCGCACGGGUGAGUAACACGUAGGUAAUCCACCUUCGGAUGGGGAAUAACAACCGGAAACGGUUGCUAAUACCGCAUAAUGCAGCGGCACCUAAUGGUGACAGUUGUUAAAGCGGGGGAUCGAAAGACCUCGCGUCUGAAGAGGAGCCUGCGGCGGAUUAGCAGUUGGUAAGGUAACGGCUUACCAAGGCGACGAUCCGUAGCCGGCCUGAGAGGGCGGUCGGCCACACUGACACUGACAUACGGGUCAGACUCCUACGGGAGGCAGCAGUCGGGAAUUUUGGGCAAUGGGCGAAAGCCUGACCCAGCAACGCCGCGU